rnacentral:rRNA from 1 species
GAUGAACGCUGGCGGCGUGCCUAAUACAUGCAAGUCGAGCGAACGGACGAGAAGCUUGCUUCUCUGAUGUUAGCGGCGGACGGGUGAGUAACACGUAGAUAACCUACCUAUAAGACUGGGAUAACUUCGGGAAACCGGAGCUAAUACCGGAUAAUAUUUUGAACCGCAUGGUUCAAAAGUGAAAGACGGUCUUGCUGUCACUUAUAGAUGGAUCCGCGCUGCAUUAGCUAGUUGGUAAGGUAACGGCUUACCAAGGCAACGAUGCAUAGCCGACCUGAGAGGGUGAUCGGCCACACUGGAACUGAGACACGGUCCAGACUCCUACGGGAGGCAGCAGUAGGGAAUCUUCCGCAAUGGGCGAAAGCCUGACGGAGCAACGCCGCGUGAGUGAUGAAGGUCUUCGGAUCGUAAAACUCUGUUAUUAGGGAAGAACAUAUGUGUAAGUAACUGUGCACAUCUUGACGGUACCUAAUCAGAAAGCCACGGCUAACUACGUGCCAGCAGCCGCGGUAAUACGUAGGUGGCAAGCGUUAUCCGGAAUUAUUGGGCGUAAAGCGCGCGUAGGCGGUUUUUUAAGUCUGAUGUGAAAGCCCGCGGCUCAACCGUGGAGGGUCAUUGGAAACUGGAAAACUUGAGUGCAGAAGAGGAAAGUGGAAUUCCAUGUGUAGCGGUGAAAUGCGCAGAGGUAUGGAGGAACACCAGUGGCGAAGGCGACUUUCUGGUCUGUAACUGACGCUGAUGUGCGAAAGCGUGGGGAUCAAACAGGAUUAGAUACCCUGGUAGUCCACGCCGUAAACGAUGAGUGCUAAGUGUUAGGGGGUUUCCGCCCCUUAGUGCUGCAGCUAACGCAUUAAGCACUCCGCCUGGGAAGUACGACCGCAAGGUUGAAACUCAAAGGAAUUGACGGGGACCCGCACAAGCGGUGGAGCAUGUGGUUUAAUUCGAAGCAACGCGAAGAACCUUACCAAAUCUUGACAUCCUUUGACAACUCUAGAGAUAGAGCUUUCCCCUUCGGGGGACAAAGUGACAGGUGGUGCAUGGUUGUCGUCAGCUCGUGUCGUGAGAUGUUGGGUUAAGUCCCGCAACGAGCGCAACCCUUAAGCUUAGUUGCCAUCAUUAAGUUGGGCACUCUAAGUUGACUGCCGGUGACAAACCGGAGGAAGGUGGGGAUGACGUCAAAUCAUCAUGCCCCUUAUGAUUUGGGCUACACACGUGCUACAAUGGACAAUACAAAGGGCAGCGAAACCGUGAGGUCAAGCAAAUCCCAUAAAGUUGUUCUCAGUUCGGAUUGUAGUCUGCAACUCGACUACAUGAAGCUGGAAUCGCUAGUAAUCGUAGAUCAGCAUGCUACGGUGAAUACGUUCCCGGGUCU